rnacentral:rRNA from 1 species
AGUAACACGUGGAUAACCUACCUAUAAGACUGGGAUAACUUCGGGAAACCGGAGCUAAUACCGGAUAAUAUUUUGAACCGCAUGGUUCAAAAGUGAAAGACGGUCUUGCUGUCACUUAUAGAUGGAUCCGCGCUGCAUUAGCUAGUUGGUAAGGUAACGGCUUACCGAGGCAACGAUGCAUAGCCGACCUGAGAGGGUGAUCGGCCACACUGGAACUGAGACACGGUCCAG